rnacentral:lncRNA from 1 species
GGAACCCAUAUCAGUUGAAGAGCUCUUACUGCUGUCCAUGGUGCUGAAAAAGACUGUGCUCGGGGAGGGCUGCUGUCCGCGGUGCUGAAUAGAUAGAGCUGACCAUGGUGCUGCACUCAGUGAACGUUGGUGGAUUCUGUCCAUGGUGCUGAAACAUUUCCAGGGUCUCGACUACAUUAGAUGAAAACUGCUGCAUGAGAAAUAAAUGGUCAGGCAUGAAUACCUCUAAAACAGGACAGCACUAUGUGUGGCGUGC